rnacentral:rRNA from 1 species
CACGUAGGGUGCGAGCGUUGUCCGGAAUUAUUGGGCGUAAAGAGCUCGUAGGCGGUGUGUCGCGUCGGCCGUGAAAACCUGCAGCUUAACUGUGGGCUUGCGGUCGAUACGGGCAUCACUGGAGUUCGGCAGGGGAGACUGGAAUUCCUGGUGUAGCGGUGAAAUGCGCAGAUAUCAGGAGGAACACCGGUGGCGAAGGCG